GCAGAAGCAAGGCUCUGUGGUUCUCUGGCAAAUUUGACUGAGAGGUUGAGAACAGAUCAUAGAGGCUAAAAAACCGCAGAGGUGUGGAAUUGGUUGGCAGAUUGAGGGGUCAUCUUGCUGCCAUAUAAGAUCAUUGUUGUAGCAGGUUGCGGGCCUAUAGCAUGUUGUAACUUGGGAGUGCAGAAGUUUGAUUGAGCUGAACAGUGGACAAAAAGAAUUCAUGGAUGUGCUCUGCUUCAACAAUUGAUUCAGAAUGUUUCCAAGUCACAGGACUUGCAACUCUUUUUCCAUUUUAUGUAUCUCUGACACCAAGAAACAGAAAAUAGAAAACAACAAAACCUGAGUUUUUCAUCAAAUUAUGGGCUGCACGCAAAAAACUAGAAAUAUUGGAUUAAGGCGCUACUAAAAUGAAUUUAUAUGGAGGAGCAAACAAAUGAAGUAUUCAAGAA